AUUGAACGCUGGCGGCAGGCCUAACACAUGCAAGUCGAACGAGUGGCGGACGGGUGAGUAAUGUCUGGGAAACUGCCUGAUGGAGGGGGAUAACUACUGGAAACGGUAGAUAAUACCGCAUACCAUCAGAUGUGCCCAGAUGUGAUUAGCUUGUUGGUGGGGUAACGGCUCACCAAGGCGACGAUCCCUAGCUGGUCUGAGAGGAUGACCAGCCAUCAUGGAACGGAGUCGAGGUCCAGUGUCCUACUGGAGGCUGCCUUGGGGAAUAUUGCACAAUGGGCGCAAGCCUGAUGCAGCCAUGCCGCGUGUAUGAAGAAGGCCUUCGGGUUGUAAAGUACUUUCAGCGGGGAGGCGUUAACCGCAGAAGAAGCACCGGCUAACUCCGUGCCAGCAGCCGCGGUAAUAC
rnacentral:rRNA from 1 species